UACGUAGGGGGCAAGCGUUGUCCGGAUUUAUUGGGCGUAAAGAGCUCGUAGGUGGUUCGGUAAGUCGGAUGUGAAAUCUCCAGGCUCAACCUGGAGGGGUCAUUCGAUACUGCCGUGACUAGAGGUCGGUAGGGGAGUGUGGAAUUCCUGGUGGAGCGGUGAAAUGCGCAGAUAUCAGGAGGAACACCCGUAGCGAAGGCGGCACUCUGGGCCGAUACUGACACUGAGAAGCGAAAGCGUGGGGAGCGAACAGG
rnacentral:rRNA from 1 species